rnacentral:rRNA from 1 species
UACGUAGGGUGCAAGCGUUGUCCGGAAUUAUUGGGCGUAAAGAGCUCGUAGGCGGUUUGUCGCGUCGAAUGUGAAAACCCGGGGCUCAACCCCGGGCCUGCAUUCGAUACGGGCAGACUAGAGUUCGGUAGGGGAGACUGGAAUUCCUGGUGUAGCGGUGAAAUGCGCAGAUAUCAGGAGGAACACCGAUGGCGAAGGCAGGUCUCUGGGCAUUAACUGACGCUGAGGAGCGAAAGCAUGGGGAGCGAACAGGA